CGUUCUCCACCAAAAUAUCUUAGGGUGAUAUCUAGAGGCUGUCUAUUGCCUGCAGGACAAAUUUAGGUGCCUGAUGGUAUCAGCUGGGUAACUGCUUUCUUCUGUGCCACCAUCUUGACCAUCUAUCAGGAGAGCACAAAGGGAAGAAGGGCUAUCCGAAGAGAUUGCCUCAGAUGCCACCAUCCCAGCCCCUUGCCAGUGAGUUUACAGUGAAGCUGAGAUUCUACACUACCCAUGUCAGCUGUGUACAGCAGAACAGCAGCAGUGUGAAAGGAGAAAAAGUGGACUAUUCCUGCUUUACAAGAUGGUUUUACAUUUUUGUGUUAAAAGAGUGGAAGAUAUUGCUUCUUGUUUCUUCAAGAUUUUGUAAAGAAGCAGCCAAGUGUAAUGAAAUGUCAUGUCACUGGUAACACAAACCAGUUGAGCCAUGCAGUGCUUUCAAGUAAGAUGAAGAGGUCUGCAAUGGAAAGACUGAAAAUUGGUGAGUGUAUGCUUGGACAAGUGGUAUUCACACCUGUGAUGGUAUUCUGGCCAUCUCCGAGACAAAUGUCAGUUUUUUGGACUCUCUCCUUCUCUCUUUUCCAACCACAGCCCCCAGUGGGCUUAGAUGUCCCAUCCUAAGCUUGCUGACUCCAACUUUUCUCCGCAGCAUGGAACUGAGUGAGCCCAGCACCAGGCUGCCCAGCAGCGACCAGUGAGUGCUCACCCUGCAGGGCUGCCCCCACACUGAACCCCAGCAUUUUGCUGGGUGCAGCCACCAUCAGCACUCGGGGCUGUAUCUGUGCUCAUGCAUUGCAGGAAGGAUUUUGCAUGUGAGUGCCCACAGUCUCUUCACACUUUGCUUCAGACUUCACAACCGACAUGGGACUUACAAUGAUAACCAGGAUGCUCUGCCUUACUGCUUAAAUACCCUCAUGAAUAUACUCCAACCUGAUCUACAGUUCAAAUGAAUUCAAUAAGGCAGAGGAGGAUUUAAAGACAUUUUAAAUAAAUUAACUUCUGGAUGGAUGUUUAUUAAGUUU
rnacentral:lncRNA from 1 species